ensembl:snoRNA predicted gene, 24177
CUUGGUCCUAGAGGCAUGGCAAUUGAAACAUUGUGCUUCAGUAGAUGAGAGGUGCUUCAGAGAGGAGAGAGACUAUGUCUACACCAACUGUUCUGACCUGUGAACAUCUGAAUGAUUAGUAGCCUAACAUC